AAUUUUUUAAUCAGGCAUGUGGUAGUUAUACAUAUUUGUACACAAAAAUAGCUAAAACAACACAUUUUAGUGACCAAAUGAACCUCUAUACACAGACAGAUGUACUACACAUUUAACUCUUUCUAUCGCAUUGUCUAAUUUACUAUUGUCAUAGUUAAUAAGCACAAUUUUCAUCUAUAAUUGUUUACUAAUUUAAACAUUGCCAAUACUUAAAGGAAUUCAUCUAAAUAAAAUUCUCUUCAAAAAAAGUUAACCAAAAUGAGAUUGUUUUAUAACUUUAAUUUCUUAUGCCGUAAAAUGUUGACAAAUAUGCGGCUUAAAGAAACUAAACUAACUUUCAUCUUGUUCAAUAAUACUCCAACUCAUUUGCAUAAAUCUAUUUACUUAUGCAUAGUAUUGUUUUAAGAUGGUACCCAACACUUUCACUAAAAUAAAUUUGGCUCGUUUAAUUUUCCUAAAAUUUUGACAAAGCAUUUACUUUGACCCUUAAAAAAAAUAUAAACAUUUCAAAAAAUUUGAACCAACCGUUUUGUCAGAAAAAAUACACUGGUUAUAUAGUAGUUUGACAAAAGCCAAUUUUGAUCAUUGAGAAGCUUAAUAUUUCCUUUACAACACAACGUAAUUAAACGUUAAGCUGAUAGUUAUCUCCCUUAGUGUUUUAAACAAAUAUUCAUAAUACUUUCCUCCUCAGUUAAGUUACUGAAAUAGCUAUGGCUCUUAGUGAUUUGUUAAGUAAUCAAAAGAUUUUAAACAAUAUGUUUUUCUUUCUGUGAAUGAAGUUAUUAAAGGUUAUGUAUGUGGUCCUCAAAAUUUCAAACUGACCAAAAUAAUUUGUAUAUCUUAUCAGAGAAUAAAUAUACAAGAACACUGGUCACUGUGUAAUGUCCAAUCUGAAAUAAAUUAAUGACUAACAAAAUCUUACACUAGUAUAAAAACAACUUUAUAUACAAGGGUUAUGACAGAAACAAAGGAUUAAUUCAUUUUGAAAUAUUUGUAAAAUUUACAAGCCCUUUUGUGAUUUAUAUCUGUACCAUAAAUACAUAUAUACAAAAAGAAAAGAUGUUGGGAUCUCAUAAUAGCAAAAAAAUAUCAAUUAAAAUUAUUUCCCAUGGUUCACACACAAAUAAAUCAUGAUACCCCCUUUAAAUGUUACAGAUGGCAACAGUGACUACCUAGUUAAUUUUCUUUUAUAAAAAAAACGUUAGUUGUAUGCUUGUUAAUAAUAAAAUAUAACUAAUUCAAAUGUAUGUAUCUGUACUAGGAUUUUUAAAUGAGAGGAUAUUUUUUUAUUUACAUUGACUUACACCCAAAAUUGUACAUACAUGUAUAUACACUGUACUUUCCACUCAAUUGGUCAAUUCAUUUGAUUUUGCUUUUAGUGCUAUUUAAACAAUUGACAAGUAAUAAACAGUACUUUUUGACAGUUCUUGCAUCAGAUACUUUACAAAUGAAUAUAGUGAUCUUAGCUGUAAUUUUCCAGAUAGGUUUCAAAAACCAGAUUUAAAAAAAAGCUCUUAGGAAAAUUAGAACAGUACUAGUCACUUUAAAGAAAAUUUUGUUACCCCAUGUAUGGUUUUGGUUGUAAGUUUAAAACAAAGAAGGAAUUACACUACAACACGAAAUUUGGCCCCUAAAUAAAGGUACAAAACUUUCUAUCAAAAAUUAUUGCAUUUUGUUCUAUGAUUGCAUAUACAUGUAACACUCUCUGUACACUAGUAUCAAUAAUUGGUUCAGUAUGUAGAAUAUUGAAUUAUAUUCUGCAUAUCACAAAGCGUCAUUUGAAAGGAAAAGAAGGGGUUGCGUACUAUACAUAACUGCAUACUAUACACAGUCAAAUACGGUAAUGAAAGUACUGUACACUUAAUUUUUCAAUAUUAUUCUGAUUGUUUGACAGGAAGUAGAGACUAUCAAUAUAAUUGCACUAAUCAUUUGACCAGUUUAUUAUUAAUAAAGUUAAAAGUCCCAUCACAAAAUUUAGAUAUAUUGAAUCUUUGUAUAUUUUUAGACCUAAAGGAGUAUAUCAGAUAUGCCUUAUCAUGGCCCCCUUUUCUACCUAAAAAUUGAAAUUUGAAUUUAAUGACUAAUAUAACAAUUAAUCAUAGUUUAAAUAAUGACGAGAUAGAACAUGAGUCUAUUUUUGAAAAAUUAACAUAUCAGAGUUUUAUCAUGAUUAUUUAUCGGUAUACAUAAUAGCAUAUACUAAUUUUCAACCAAAUCUUAGACUAAUGAAAACAGGCAAUUUCCUUUCAUUUUCAGAAAUGGAAACUUAACCUUGACAAAAAAUGAUUAAGAGUGUUAAUGUAUAAAAAAAAUUUUGGCUUGCUAACCAACUUCUUUUCCCCAUUACUGGUAUAUUUCUAAGAAUCAGAGGCAAUACUUUGAGAAAAAAAAAUUCCCAUAUAUCUCUUCAGUGCACUUCACAUCUAUAUAAAAAAUUACACACAAAAAGAUGCAUCUACAUGUACAUUAAAAAAUAUGUGUACAUAAUUCUGGCUACAUUUAUUCAAAGACCAGCUUUUCAACUUUUAACAAUUAUUUGGACAUUUGGGUAUAUUGGACUAUAAAUAACAUUAAAAAUGGCUCUCAACAAUGUACUAAAAUGGGCUCUUGUUUAGCAUAAAUAAACAGGUAUAAAAUGUGCAUGGUCAAUAAGUGUAUUUUGCAUAAUAACAACAAAUUAUUUUUAAGUCAUCUUGCAUUUUAUUCUGCAUAUUAACAAUUUACAUAUGUAAAAAGGUGUUCUAACUAAUUCAUAUGAAUGUUGGAAGGCAAAAGGUGGAUUAACACCGUACAAUUUUUAUCCAAUUUUUUACCUAUAAUGUGGUGCACACAAAAAUUACACCAUAUGAACACUAAAAUUGGAUGUCUUAAGGGUAAUCUGAUGGAAAAUGCAUCCUUUCGUCAGAAUACUGUAUAAUUUACCAAGGCGACUAUCAAAUUUGAUGAAAAAUCGUACCGUGCAAUCACAACUUUAUAGCUAAAAAUAUCUAAACUCUUUGAUAUUUCUUAUUGUUUAAGAGCCUAUCCAACCCUUUCGUAUGAAAAUUUCUGUAACAGCCCUUAUCAUUUGUAGCAUAGCACUAUUUCAUAAUGUAAAUUAGAUAAUAAGUCAACUACACAUCUAUAAAAUGAUGCAAAUUCAUAACUGAUUAAAACAUACUCUAUUUGUUCAAAAUACAUAAAGAAACAUAUUUGUUUCACUGAAGGAUCCGCAUACUUUGCUACAUAGUAGUCCUAUUCAUAAAUAUAAAAAAAGAAGAUGUGGUAUGAUUGCCAAUGAGACAACUGUCCACAUUUGACCAAAAUGUUACAGGCAUUAACAACUAUAGGUCACCGUACGGCCUUCAACAAUGAGCAAAGCCCAUACAUAGUCAACUAUAAAAGGCCCCUAAAGCAUACUUUCAUUUUUUUUUCAGUUACGGAUAUGUGCUGAAUGAUAGAUUUCUAAGCAAAUAGAAAAAUUUCUAUAUGAAAACUACCUAUUAAAUUAAUGUUUCACAACUUCACCAGUUCUGAGCAAACAGAAAAAAAUUCUAUGGGAAAACUGCCUAUCAAAUAAUUGUUUCACUUUUUCAGUAUGAA
rnacentral:lncRNA from 1 species